rnacentral:rRNA from 1 species
UGGGGAAUAUUGGACAAUGGGCGCAAGCCUGAUCCAGCCAUGCCGCGUGAGUGACGAAGGCCUUAGGGUUGUAAAGCUCUUUUGGCGGGGAAGAUAAUGACGGUACCCGCAGAAUAAGCUCCGGCUAACUUCGUGCCAGCAGCCGCGGUAAUACGAAGGGAGCUAGCGUUGUUCGGAAUCACUGGGCGUAAAGCGCACGUAGGUGGGCAGUUAAGUCAGGGGUGAAAGCCCGAGGCUCAACCUCGGAAUUGCCUCUGAUACUGGCUGUCUAGAGUUCGAGAGAGGUGAGUGGAAUUCCUAGUGUAGAGGUGAAAUUCGUAGAUAUUAGGAAGAACACCGGUGGCGAAGGCGGCUCACUGGCUCGAUACUGACACUGAGGUGCGAAAGCGUGGGGAGCAAACAGGAUUAGAUACCCCGGUAGUCCCUGAGCGGGCUGGCAAGGCGCAU